rnacentral:ncRNA from 1 species
AAACUAGUAUAGACAAGGGGAAUCUGACUGUUUAAUUAAAAAAAAAUACAUUGCAAUGGUCCCCACGGAUGCUGACACAAUGUGAUUUAUACCAAGUUCUUUGCAUGUGAAAGUGAAGAAAUUCAAUCAAGUGCGGGUAAACGACUGGAGUAACUACGACUCUAUUAAGGUAUCCAGAUGCCUCGCCAUCUAAUUAGUGACAUGCAUGAAUGGAUUAAUAAGAUUCCCCCUAUCCCUAGAUACUAUCUAUAGAAACCAUAUCCAAUGG